GUCAUAUUAUGUAAACGACUCCCUGCUGUAUGGGGAGAUUUUCUAGAAAGAAAUACGAACGUUGCCGUCAGUAUAAUAAUAAGAAAAAGAAGAACGCCCGUGAUCGGCAGAGUCAGCGCCGGUCCCAGGAAACGUCAGGACAGACAUUCCGUCGACUCCAGAACGCCCGUGAUCAGCAGAGUCAGCGCCGGUUCCAUAGCUUUGCAGAAGACGUUACUUCAGUAUCUCAUUGAAACGUUUUUGCAAUACAAUGAUGUAGCUAAUCAAAGGAAAAAGCAUUUCCAUCAGUUCUACCAACAUGCACGAUGAGCUAGGCAACAAAGCAUAGCGCAGGGCCCUGAGCUUCCAAGCUCUCUCGUUGGCGUGACGAGGUAGAUCGCCGAGAUCGAGCGUGAAAAACGCUCUGCAUUAGUAGCUCCUGUAGAAUGUCUUCUGGGAUGGCGUACCCAUGGUCAACAAAGCCAAGGUGCAAGACAGCAUAAGAGAUCGUGUAAACGAUGUGAACUCCAAAAGGUAAGCUCCUGAACAAGUGGAAAGAUAUGUGUAUUUACAAACUCUCUCUUCAUCCAUCGAUUGCCGCUAUGCAUUGCAUUUUGUCUUCACAGAUAAUCUGGACAAAAUUAUAAUUAUUGUAACUGGAGAGUGCAAUCGUGCUUGGGACCCAUCCCAAUGUCAUCACAUGGCUGUGGUGACUAGUGUAUACCUGGGAGAGUUUUUCCUCAACUGAGACGGAGUGUAGGUGGAUGGAUUAUGAGAAAUGCGAAGAUGUGGAGUUCAAGGCUAGAUGCACUUCACAUUCGGCGUGGGAUCUCGGCGUCUGGGACCUGAUAACAUCUUGGUUGGAUGGGUAAUCAAGGAUGAUACUACUCGGCACACCAAUGUACAUGUCAAUGUAGUUUUUACUUUUUCAGAGCUGCACUAUUUACGUCUUGAUGCUUACUUCGGUGCUAGUGUCGUGUCCGUGUGUUGCUACAAUGUCAUUAUCUGUAUUGUAUUCCGUCUGCUUAUACAUGUGUCUUUAUGAAGUGUUUGCCGUGGCGGCGAUGUGUCUUGUCGAUCAAUAGUGUUGUGAAACCUAUCACUAUUCAUGCUUUGCUGGCUACUCGCUCGCUCCGCGCCGUGCACGCUACUAGGUCUUGUAGUAUAUACGCUGGUUGUUGUUGUUCUUGUUGCUUCUCUGUUGUUUGAGCUUGGUCCUAGAGUGAAGCUUUGAUCUUCUUGUGUGGUGAGGGUGAGGAAUGGGUAUCUGGACUCCUGGUAUAUUUCCGUAAAGAACCUGGAAUUGUAGAAUCCUGAGAGUAUGUCUGGCCCACUCCCCGGUCAUGACAUUAGGGUGUUUCCCCCGGAUUAUUUCUAUCAUCCUGCGUGUUCUUGGGCUGAGCGAGCACAUGCACGAGUGUGCAGCUAUAACCCUGUGUAUCUUUGGUUACACUUUGUUCUGCAAUGCAUGUACCUUGUAACAGUCUGUGCUUGCACUGCUUUGUGUGGCCUGCGUAUUUCAGGACUAUUCAGUGCAUCAGACCCAGGUUGGUUUGGUUGCCGGAUGAUCUCUUGUUGCGUCGCUCUGUGUUUUGUAUAAUUUUUCGGCUUGAGAAUUGAGCUGGUGUGUGGUUCCCAAUAUGAAAACAUCAUGCUGGUGCUCUGUGUUUCGAUUAUCGACUGUCCGAGCAGUCACGAUUCAUUACCAGAACGGUC